AGGAAGAGAAUUCUGGCCAGAAAGAUGGCUGAAUUAACUCAGCUUAUGGAUCAAGAGAUCCCCGAUGGACGCCAGCAUCUUCAAGAUAGUUACAAAAAUCUGGAGAAAGUAGCUCAGUAUUGUCGGGAUAAUUAUGUUCAGGCUACAGACAAGCGUGCUGCUUUGGAGGAAACCAAGAACUACACCACACACUCUCUGGCCAGUGUAGCCUACCAGAUCAACAGUUUGGCCACUAACUUCCUCAAGCUGCUUGACCUUCAGCAGAGUCAGCUGGCAGAAAUGGAAUCGGGAGUCAACUACUUGGCACAGACAGUAAAUAUUCACAAAGAGAAGGUGGCAAGGAGAGAAAUCGGGGUCCUGACAACCAACAGGAGCUCUACCAGGCCAACUGGAGUCAAGAAUGGCAUCAUCUUUCCAGAGCAAGCAGAGAAACCCACAAAAUACCAGCGCAAACCCAUAGAUUACGCCAGUCUGGAUGAAUUAGGUCACGGGGUCAGGGUAAGUGGCUGACCUUAGUUGACCUAUGACCUCCAAUGAUGACAGUUACAUUUUCUGUUGUUUUUUUUUUUUUAAAUCAAGGUCAAUAUGAUCUUCGUGUACAUGUAGCUUGCCCUUAUUUUCCUCUAGCUCUCAUUUCUAAGCAUGAUCACAAGUUAACUGUGAAAAUAUAACCUUAAUAUCUGAAUGUUUAACAAAGUUCACCCUUCUAUGUUUUGAUUAUGUUGGUAAAAGAAGAUUCAUGUCAUACCAUUUGAAAAAGAGACUCCUAUGUACAUAGCAUGCUUUAUUGCCUUGUGAUGUCUUUAGCAGUACACAUGUAUUGGAUAUCAUUGUUUUGCAUGUAUCUGUGUGUUGUACUAUAGAUCUCUUUCCAGGUACAAGAACCGGGUUUAAUGCUCAAGGUAACAUGGUAGUGUUUAUGUUCGGUGUAGUUUGAUUCAUACCUGACCCUGGGUGUGGUAGCUCACAUUAUUCAGUCACUGCAUGCUCCUAAAUGUCACUACUGCAUACUGUAAACCAACUUUUAAAUUGAUUGGUGUGCAAGAAAAAUCCACAAUAUUUGUUACUUAGAGAGAAAAAAUUUCAUAUUAUUUCAAGAUAACGUCCUAAUCGCAAAUAUUUCUCACCCCCAGUCUUGAUUUUUGUUAAAGUUCAUGUAUAAAGGAUCUGUGGCAAAAACUAAUUGCUGCAGAACUAGUUUAUUACAGGUAAAUUGUGAAAUAAAUAAGCUGCAUAUAAAAGUUGGUUUACAGUGCUCGGUACAGCUUGAUUUUGUUACACUGCGUUUACAACAGGGUACAUGUAGUAGUUGAUUUGAGGAGGAAUAGGAAUAAAAGUUCAGCAAUUUGAAAGAUAAAUGUCAAUUUGAAAUUUUUAUUAACUAGGUAAAAAAUGUGUAUGCAUCAUAGAAUUCUUAAAAAGGUUGAAAAAAACCUCUCCCAGACCCAUUAAGUGACUGUUAUAGACACCAAAUACAAGCGUAUUAUGGUUAAUUCAUUUAUAUUUAAAAAGGAAAUAACAUAACAAAAUAUAGGCAUCUUAUUUUUGCUUAGGUUGGUUAAUCAGGUAUAGAUUGUUUGAAUAUAUUUUAUUGCUUAAACAUACAUGUAUACAAAUGGUAUAGAUUAAUGGGAUGUAAAUUAUAAAUUAAAUAAAAGUAUUUUUACAAGAUUUAACUUCUCAGUAAAAUAGAUAGCCGUUGGUAACAGUAACUUUUUAAAUCCUUUACUUUUUGAAAGUUUUAGCUGAAUUUGUGAAAUAAAAAGUAUUUUCUACAAAGUUACGGCAGUUGAAAUAUUACAAUUCUAGGUACAUGUAAAAAAUAUCAAUACACCUGGGUGUCUGCUCAUGGUUACUUUUACAUCAAAUCAUUUGUACAUCUGUCAGAUUUGUUUACAGGUGUUAAUGUUUAGAGGCAGUAAAUUAGAAUACUAGUACUGGUUCCUUUACAGCCAGUUUAAGGGCAGAUUUUUUGUAUGAAUUUGAUCAGAUUUCUUUUAUUGAUAAGUGCUUGAAACUUAUGUUGUUAUUGUGUUUAUAUUUAUACAAUUUUUACUGGCGGUUUUAUUUAUUUUUUUGUUAAACUUUAUAUUGUUUUGUAAUGCCCUAGUGUGCAGGAAGUGAAAUACAAUACAAGAAGAUUUCAAUUUUUUUUUCAACUAUCCAUAAGUACAUGUACUAGUAUCUAAAUUCAUGUAAUACUGAAUGAAUGUUUGUGAAAGAAGAGCUCAAAUACCCAUGGGCUAGUUAAAUUUCAAUUAAAAUACAUGUACUUGG
rnacentral:misc_RNA from 1 species